rnacentral:rRNA from 1 species
AACGAACGCUGGCGGCGUGGAUAAGACAUGCAAGUCGAGCGGGGUGCUAUUAGUAGCAAUACUGGUAGUACUCAGCGGCGCAAGGGUGCGUAACACGUGGGCAACCUGCCCGGAAAUGGG